GUUUUGAUCACUAUGAAUGAUUUUAUGCAAUAUUGGUUUCAGUCUUUGUGCAAGAGAGUAUGCUAUAAUUUUGGUAUCUACAUUUAGUAAGGUAAUUGGUCUAUAAUUAUCUAAAUUUAAUGGGUCGUUUUUCUUGUAUAUAAGGGUAAUCAAUCCAAGUUUCUGAGAAUUUGUUAAUUCUUUUUUUUCAUAGCAAUUAUUAAAAACAUCUACAGCAAAGUUUGUAAGUUUGACCAGAAAGCUCUAUAAAAUUCAAUUGAGAGACCAUCGAUACCUGGUGUUUUAUUAAGUUUCAUUUUAAAAACAGAUUGUGUACAUUCCUCUAUUGUCAGGUUGCCGUCAAUUUCAUUACCUUCUUUGUACUUAAUUUGUAAUUUAUUUUAGUUUUUUCAAUAUAAUUUUCAAUUUCUGUUAGAUCAGGGUUAGUUGACUUAUAUAAAUUGACAUAAUAAUUUCUCCCCGUUUCUAAUAUUUUGCCUUGAUCUUCUGUUAUUUCUCCUUUACUGUCCCUUAUAGCAGUAAUGUUUUUCCUUGUUUGUCUUGAUUUUUCUAAUCCCAAAAAAUAUUUUGUAUUUUUUUCGCCCUCUUCUAUCCAUUUAACUCGUGAUCUUAUUUGUGCCCCUUUUAUUUUAUCUGAAUAUAGAGUUUGUAGCGUUUCUUCUGUUUUAUUUAUUGAAUCUAUUAUAUUUGGCAAAUUAUUAUUUUUUUCAUCCAUGUUGUUAUCAUGAAUUUCAUUCAAAAGUUUAAGUUCUUGUUCUAGUUUUGUAAUUUCAUCUCUUUUAUGUUUAGCUUUUAAUUUACAAUGUUCUAUAGUUUUCUCUCUUACUUCUAUUUUAAAAAGAUCCCACACGAUUGCUAGACUUUUUUUAUUUCUUAAUUUUUCAUAUUUAUCUAUCAAAGUAUUUAUUUUUAUUUUGUAUGAUUCGUCGUUAAGAAUAUUGUUGUUUAAUUUGAAGUAUCCCUUUCCUUUGUUCCCUUGACAAUGAUUAAUUUUAAGUGAAAUCGCUAAGUGAUCUGUAUAUUGAAUUGUUGCAGGUCGUAUAUCAGUGCUGAGUACUCUUGGUCUCACAUCUUCACUUACUAGAAAAUAAUCAAUUCUACUAGCUACUUCAUUAUUUUUUCUUUUCCAGGUAUAUUGCGUUUUAUUUGGAUUUAUAGCUCUCCAUAUAUCUAUAACUUUUAGUUUUUUUAUCAGAGUUUUUAGCCCAUUUGUCUUAUUUUUUAUUUUUUGUUGAUCUUUUCUAUUACUUUUUCUAUCUUUUAUAUUAAGCGUUUCAUUCAUAUCACCGCCUAUGAUAAUUAUACCAAGACUAUAUUUUUCAAUGACACUUAAAGCUUUUUUAAAGAAUAUAUUUCUAUCUUUACAUGUGUUUGGGGCAUAAAGGUUUACAAAGGUAAAUAUAUUUUUAUCGAUUUCUAUGUUGAUUAAAACAAUUCUUCCGUCUUGAUCUACA
rnacentral:lncRNA from 1 species